rnacentral:rRNA from 1 species
UACGUAGGGACCGAGCGUUGUCCGGAAUUAUUGGGCGUAAAGAGCUCGUAGGCGGUGUGUCGCGUCGGCCGUGAAAACCUGGGGCUUAACUCCGGGUCUGCAGUCGAUACGGGCAGGCUAGAGUGUGGUAGGGGAGAUCGGAAUUCCUGGUGUAGCGGUGAAAUGCGCAGAUAUCAGGAGGAACACCGGUGGCGAAGGCGGAUCUCUGGGCCAUUACUGACGCUGAGGAGCGAAAGCGUGGGGAGCGAACAGG